AACGCACGAGACCUGCGGACCUGCGGAAGGAUCAUUAGUGAACGCCCUCACGGGCUUAUAACCAUUCCAAACCUCUGUGAACCGUGCCCUUCGGGGCUAUUUUACAAACAUGGUGUAAUGAACGUCAUAUAUCAUAACAAAACAAAACUUUCAACAAUGGAUCUCU
rnacentral:misc_RNA from 1 species